ACAGUUUAUCAGCUUGGAAAUUGUAAUUGGAAAGAAAAAGUUAAAAAUUGUUUAUAUUUUAAUUUUUUUUCUUUUCAUUGCGAAUUUUGAAGUUAUGCUAAGUGUGACGCUUCUUUAAUGAGUUUAUCAUAAUAAUUUAAGUAUAGUCCAGUUCUAAUUUGAUUGUGUAGGUACUAUAAAGGAUUAAAUAUGAGUGAGGCAGUGUAUGAAAGUGAUUCUGUUUCUUAUACAAAUUUCCAAUAUGCAGAAUACAAUUUUGAAAAUUCUACUUUAGAGUUAGCCAGAGCACAAUGGCCUAAUUACGAUGAUCAACAUUACCUUAAAGGAUGCAAAUGGUCGCCAGAUGGGACUUGUCUACUUACAGUAGUUAGGGGAGCUGGAAUGCAUGUCAUGGAACUACCCAGUGAUUUAUAUACAGGUGACAGUAUUCCUAGCAGCCGACCCAUUGUACCUUUAAUUCCAGCAGUUAGUGUCCCUGAAGCAGGACUUAUUUAUGAUUAUUGUUGGUAUCCUGGUAUGAAUAGUGGUAAUCCAGCUACAUGCUGUUGGUUAUCUAGUGGCCAUGGCGGUCCCAUACAUCUGUGGGAUGCAUUUACCGGCGAUUUAAGAUGCACUUACAGAGGCUAUAACAACCAAGAUGAAUUAGAACCUGCUAUGAGUGUUUCAUUUUCUGCAGACGGCCAGAACAUAUUUUGUGGAUAUAAGAAAAACGUUAAAAUAUUCGCUACAGGCAGACCUGGUAGAGAAUAUGUUGAAUACCCCGUACCUCACCAAGUGUCUUGUCUCGUAGCUAGUCAAGCGCAACCUGGAGUAGUAGCUAUAGGAACAUGGAAGAAUACAAUUGAUCUUGUAUCUCAAAGUGAUGGCUCAUUUCGACAUCUUUGCAAGUUAAAUGGCCACAAAGGGGGUAUCACAACGAUGACUUUCUCUCUUGAUGGUUUCCGUUUAUACAGUGGUGCUAGAAAAGACAAAGAAAUUAUCUGCUGGGAUUUACGUGUUCCAGGGAGACCAAUGUUUUGUUUAUAUCGUGAAGUCAACACCAACCAGAAGAUAAAUAUAGACCUAAGUGUAGAUGGUAAAUGGUUGGUAUCUGGAGGGACAGAUGGUAAGGUACAAGUGUGGAAUGUCACUGAGCAAACUUAUCCUUCAGUGCAUAUGCAAGCUGUAUUAUUGUCACCGUUUCCUCUAACCAAGGAUUUACAUCCAGGAUAAUUCGUUUUUGUUUGUUGCUUCUUAAACAAAAAUCACUUUUAUCUGUAAACAUAAGUAUGCCAGAGGAGUACCUACUGAUAUUUUUUCUCGAUAUCAAGCAUUGAUGGCGUUACAUACUGAUUGCUGCAACGGAGUAAGCCUACAUCCUUACCGACCCAUUUUGGCGACUGCUUCAGGUCAACAUCAUACUUUGGAUCCGUUACAUCACACUAGAAAUUCUUUGCAAUACGAAAAUGCUUUGUCUAUGUGGUGGAUAGGAGCACAACAAGAAGAU